UCAGUCGACUCCUACGGGGAGGCAGCAGUGGGGAAUAUUGCACAAUGGGGGAAACCCUGAUGCAGCCAUGCCGCGUGUGUGAAGAAGGCCUUCGGGUUGUAAAGCACUUUCAGUAGGGAGGAAGGUAGUGUAGUUAACACCUGCACUAUUUGACGUUACCUACAGAAGAAGCACCGGCUAACUCCGUGCCAGCAGCCGCGGUAAUACGGAGGGUGCGAGCGUUAAUCGGAAUUACUGGGCGUAAAGCGCAUGCAGGCGGCCUGUUAAGUCAGAUGUGAAAGCCCGGGGCUUAACCUCGGAAUUGCAUUUGAAACUGGCAGGCUAGAGUCUUGUAGAGGGGGGUAGGAAUUUCAGGUGUAGCGGUGAAAUGCGUAGAGAUCUGAAGGAAUACCAGUGGCGAAGGCGGCCCCCUCGGACAAAGACUGACGCUCAGAUGCGAAAGCGUGGGGAGCAAACAGGAUUAGAUACCCUGGUAG
rnacentral:rRNA from 1 species